rnacentral:rRNA from 1 species
CAGCAGCCGCGGUAAUACGUAGGUGGCAAGCGUUGUCCGGAAUUAUUGGGCGUAAAGGGCUCGCAGGCGGUUUCUUAAGUCUGAUGUGAAAGCCCCCGGCUCAACCGGGGAGGGUCAUUGGAAACUGGGAAACUUGAGUGCAGAAGAGGAGAGUGGAAUUCCACGUGUAGCGGUGAAAUGCGUAGAGAUGUGGAGGAACACCAGUGGCGAAGGCGACUCUCUGGUCUGUAACUGACGCUGAGGAGCGAAAGCGUGGGGAGCGAACAGGAUUAGAUACCCCUGUAGUCCCUGUCUCUUAUAC